rfam:Myotis lucifugus cont2.42036, whole genome shotgun sequence.
GCCGGUUUGGCUCAGUGGAUAGAGCGUUGGCCUGCAGGCCAAAAGGUCCCGGUUCGAUUCCGGUCAAGGGCA